AUGAGUCUCCUAUGCUGGAACUGUCGUGGGGCUGGCAAACCAGCGACAGUGAAGGAGCUUCAUGACAUGACGAGGCAAUAUGCCCCUUCUAUUCUUUGUAUCCUGGAAACUCAGAUAGAAGGCUUACGUGUUGAGAAUUUAUCCAGUACUUUAGGUUUCAAUAAAAGUUUUGCUGUUAGUAGUAGAGGUAGAAGUGGUGGUUUGGGAAUUUUUUGGAAUGAUUCA
rnacentral:rRNA from 1 species